GAUCAAUAUUUAUUCUUGUUUUGAAAACAAGACUGGAGUGAUUAGAAACACUCAUUGAUUU
rnacentral:tRNA from 1 species